rnacentral:rRNA from 1 species
AGAAUCAACGCUGGCGGCGUGCCUAACACAUGCAAGUCGAACGAGAAAGUGGAGCAAUCCACGAGUAAAGUGGCGCACGGGUGAGUAACACGUGACUAACCUACCCUUGAGUGGGGGAUAACCUAGGGAAACCUGGGCUAAUACCACAUAAUACCUACGGGUCAAAGGAGCAAUUCGCUUAAGGAGGGGGUCGCGGCCGAUUAGUUAGUUGGCGGGGUAAUGGCCCACCAAGACGAUGAUCGGUAUCCGGCCUGAGAGGGCGCACGGACACACUGGAACUGAAACACGGUCCAGACUCCUACGGGAGGCAGCAGUGGGGAAUUUUGCGCAAUGGGGGAAACCCUGACGCAGCAACGCCGCGUGGAGGAUGAAGUCCCUUGGGACGUAAACUCCUUUCGAUCGGGACGAUUAUGACGGUACCGGAAGAAGAAGCCCCGGCUAACUUCGUGCCAGCAGCCGC